CCCUUAGAUGUUCUGGGCCGCACGCGCGCUACACUGACAGAGCCAGCGAGUUUUUUUCCUUGGCCGGAAGGUCUGGGUAAUCUUGUGAAACUCUGUCGUGCUGGGGAUAGAGCAUUGCAAUUAUUGCUCUUCAACGAGGAAUACCUAGUAAGCGUGAGUCAUCAGCUCGCGUUGAUUACGUCCCUGCCCUUUGUACACACCGCCCGUCGCUACUACCGAUUGAAUGGCUUAGUGAGGUCUCCGAAUUGGCUUUGGGGAGCCGGCGACGGCACCCUAUUGCUGAGAAGCUGAUCAAACUUGGUCAUUUAGAGGAAGUAAAAGUCGUAACA
rnacentral:rRNA from 1 species